AUUUUAGAAAUAGAAGCUAAUCCGACUCCUUCGACUGAAGAAGGAAGUGAGGAAAGCGGACGUGAUGCAGUGACUGAGAUGGCGCAUGAAACUUCUGUACCAGCUGACGUGCAGCAGCAGCCACCCUUUCAACAGACUGGGGGUCCUGGAUAUCCUAUGGUACAAGAUGGUGGAGUAGUUUGGGUGCAGCAGCAGCCACCCUUUCAACAGACUGGGAACUAUCCACAUAAACCGAUUCCGGAUCAAAGUUUUGGACCAGCUGUAGUCGGUAGCAAUCCAUUUCAGUUG